rnacentral:rRNA from 1 species
CCUACGGGUGGCAGCAGUGAGGAAUAUUGGUCAAUGGACGAGAGUCUGAACCAGCCAAGUAGCGUGAAGGAUGACUGCCCUAUGGGUUGUAAACUUCUUUUAUAUGGGAAUAAAAUGUUACACGUGUGGAAUUUUGUAUGUACCAUAUGAAUAAGGAUCGGCUAACUCCGUGCCAGCAGCCGCGGUAAUACGGAGGAUCCGGGCGUUAUCCGGAUUUCUUGGGUUUAAAGGGAGCGUAGGUGGAUUGUUAAGUCAGUUGUGAAAGUUUGCGGCUCAACCGUAGAAUUGCAGUUGAAACUGGCACUCUUGAGUACAGUAGAGGUGUGCGGAAUUCGUGGUGUAGCGGUGAAAUGCUUAGAUAUCACGAAGAACUCCGAUUGCGAAGGCAGCUCACUGGACUGCAACUGACACUGAGGCUCGAAAGUGUGGGUAUCAAACAGGAUUAGAUACCCUUGUAGUC